rnacentral:rRNA from 1 species
GAACGCUGGCGGCAGGCCUAACACAUGCAAGUCGAGCGGUAGAGAGGUGCUUGCACCUCUUGAGAGCGGCGGACGGGUGAGUAAUACCUAGGAAUCUGCCUGGUAGUGGGGGAUAACGUUCGGAAACGGACGCUAAUACCGCAUACGUCCUACGGGAGAAAGCAGGGGACCUUCGGGCCUUGCGCUAUCAGAUGAGCCUAGGUCGGAUUAGCUAGUUGGUGAGGUAAUGGCUCACCAAGGCUACGAUCCGUAACUGGUCUGAGAGGAUGAUCAGUCACACUGGAACUGAGACACGGUCCAGACUCCUACGGGAGGCAGCAGUGGGGAAUAUUGGACAAUGGGCGAAAGCCUGAUCCAGCCAUGCCGCGUGUGUGAAGAAGGUCUUCGGAUUGUAAAGCACUUUAAGUUGGGAGGAAGGGCAUUAACCUAAUACGUUAGUGCUUUGACGUUACCGACAGAAUAAGCACCGGCUAACUCUGUG